ACACUGGUGGUGAAACGGUAUCAUGCUUGCCUUCCAUCUGUCAUCUGGGUAGCAAGCGGCAGGGGUUCGACUCCCUUUCAGUGUA